CAAUAGCGUAUAUUAAAGUUGUUGCAGUUAAAAGCUCGUAGUUGAAUUUCUAAGCAUGUGUAGCUGUGACAAUUGUCCGGUUGCAUGUGUUUAUCCGACAUUGAACAUGAAUUGAUAUUCAGUUAUCAUUUGUGCGAACUGUCAUUUUACUUUGAAAAAUUAGAGUGUUUCAGGCAGGUUUUGUCCGGAAUAUCUUAGCAUGGAAUAAUGGAAUAGGACUUUGGUUCAUUUUAUUGGUUAUUGAAUCAGAGUAAUGGUUAAUAGGGACAGUUGGGGGCAUUAGUAUUUAAUUGUCAGAGGUGAAAUUCAUGGAUUUAUUAAAGACUAACUUAUGCGAAAGCAUUUGCCAAGGAUGUUUUCAUUAAUCAAGAACGAAAGUUAGGGGAUCAAAGACGAUUAGAUACCAU
rnacentral:rRNA from 1 species